ensembl:snRNA U4 U4 spliceosomal RNA
AGCUUUGCACAGUGGCAAUAUUGUAGCCAAUGAGGUUUACCCAAGGCACGAUUUUUGCUAAUUGAAAGCUUUUCCCAAUACCCCGCUGUGACGAUUUGAAAUAUAGUCGGCACUGGAAAUUUUGAAUGGUCUCCACAGAG